GUUCAGUAAGUAAUACCCCCACCCAAAACUUGAUCCACCAGUCACUGGGCCCCAUCAGAAGUUGCUCAGGCGUAAAAAAAAUAACUGUGGUUCCGGUUCCCAACCGACCCUAUUUUUUUUUGCCGACCCUAUUAUUUUUUCAACGCGAUUGACUGUGCAACCCUAUUUUCUCUGGGUGGUUGCAGGCUGCUACCAAAAUGGCAUCUGUUGUCACCAUGAAAAAAAACAUGAAAAAUAUUUUUAAAAAAAUUAUUUCCGACCUACCGACCCUAAUUUUUUCACGAGAUGAAACCGGAACCACAGCUGUUUUUUUACGCCUCAUUCGUCAUCCUUUUCAAGAUCACGUCCAUGCUAUUUAUUGUAUGGAGUAAUUGGAAAUGAAAAACUGUUUUUAAAACCAGUCAUUAGUAAAUGCAGAGUUAAAGACAUGUAUAAAUUUGAAGAGUAUAAAAGUUAUCAUAGUAACUAAAAAGUCGGAGUUACCAUGGCAACUACAUGUAAAAAGUUAUCUGUGAAACAUUCUAUGAUCCAGCAAUCUUGCAUAUAAGCUUUUUUAAGAAAAAUAUUUGUUUUAAGAUGAAAAUGUGUUCAUGAAUGAACGCUAUUCUUUAGGUUUGUGACAUUGUUAUGACCCAAUAUGAUGUCACAUAGUCUUCAUGGUAACACAAUUUUGAAUUUCUUAAUGUACCGGUACUAGUACUGUCAACUUGUAUCAUAAAAUGUUUAAAAUCACAUCUGAGAUGGUAUUUGUCAAUAAUAAAUUGGCUAAUUUCAUAUACCAGUAAUUUAUUGCAAUUUUAUUUAAUGAUGUCAUACAGUUGCCAUAGCAAUGGUAAAUGUUCGUCUGUAUCACCAUUAUGUAGGUUCAGGUGUCACCAAUGCAUUCUGAAAAUUUUGUUUUGAUCGGAUGAAUGGUCUAGAAGUUAUGGCCAAAAGGGUUAAAAACCAGGGGGGGUUGAUGGCCUCUCUUCAUCUCUUCACUUCCAGUGUAUAAGAAAAUUGCCUAAAACAUGGCUGAUUAAGAUUUAAGAAAAUCCCUUUCUCUGAAACUAACAAGAAGUGAGAUCUCUGUAUGGUAUGUAAACUUAAUCUAAUUGAUUUCAUUCUUGUACUAAGGUGUGCAUUGAAUUUUGCAUUAUUUUAUCACCCAAAAUUACUGGUAAGUUAAAAAAUUACACAGCAAUUUCAGUUUGGUCCAUACAAUCUUCAGUUCUGGUCAAUCUUUUUACCGGCUCAAGCUGGAACCAAAACUUUAAUUAACAAAUUUGUGUAUCAAUAUUGUCAGAAGUGCACCUUUUAUCAGUUAUGGUGACUGUUAUUUAAUACUCUAUUUUCCCCACAACAUUUUGUUUCAGUAAUCUUUUGCAUUAAAAAAUACAGUUCUACAGAAAAGAAUUUCAACAGGAUAAAGGUAUGACAUGUUGGAACUUUGAAGCAGAAGCUAUGGGUAGCAGUACUUUGGGAAGCCUUAGCUUGGGCCGCAGCUUGCAAAUAAAGAUACAUUUGAUAUUCACCCUUUCCUAGGUUUGGACGUGCACACACCUU